GACCGGCCACACUGGGACUGAGACACGGCCCAGACUCCUACGGGAGGCAGCAGUGGGGAAUAUUGCACAAUGGGCGAAAGCCUGAUGCAGCGACGCCGCGUGAGGGAUGACGGCCUUCGGGUUGUAAACCUCUUUCAGCAGGGAAGAAGCGCAAGUGACGGUACCUGCAGAAGAAGCACCGGCUAACUACGUGCCAGCAGCCGCGGUAAUACGUAGGGUGCGAGCGUUGUCCGGAAUUAUUGGGCGUAAAGAGCUCGUAGGCGGCCUGUCGCGUCGGAUGUGAAAGCCCGGGGCUUAACCCCGGGUCUGCAUUCGAUACGGGCAGGCUAGAGUGUGGUAGGGGAGAUCGGAAUUCCUGGUGUAGCGGUGAAAUGCGCAGAUAUCAGGAGGAACACCGGUGGCGAAGGCGGAUCUCUGGGCCAUUACUGACGCUGAGGAGCGAAAGCGUGGGGAGCGAACAGGAUUAGAUACCCUGGUAGUCCACGCCGUAAACGUUGGGAACUAGGUGUUGGCGACAUUCCACGUCGUCGGUGCCGCAGCUAACGCAUUAAGUUCCCCGCCU
rnacentral:rRNA from 1 species